GCUCUGGGAGGGCCUCGCGGCCUAUCAGCUUGUUGGUGAGGUGAUGGCUCACCAAGGCGACGACGGGUAGCUGGUCUGAGAGGACGAUCAGCCACACUGGGACUGAGACACGGCCCAGACUCCUGCGGGAGGCAGCAGUGGGGAAUCUUGCGCAAUGGGCGGAAGCCUGACGCAGCAACGCCGCGUGCGGGAUGACGGCCUUCGGGUUGUAAACCGCUUUCAGUGGGGACGAAUGUGACGGUACCCACAGAAGAAGCCCCGGCNNNCUACGUGCCAGCAGCCGCAGUAACACGUAGGGGGCGAGCGUUGUCCGGAUUCAUUGGGCGUAAAGAGCUCGUAGGCGGCUCGGUAAGUCGGGUGUGAAAUCUUCAGGCUCAACCUGGGGAGGCCACUCGAUACUGCCGUGGCUAGAGUCCAGUANGGGAGUGUGGAAUUCUCGGUGUAGCGGUGAAAUGCGCAGAUAUCGGGANGNANCACCGGCGGCGAAGGCGGCACUCUGGGCUGGUACUGACGCUGANGANCGAAAGCGUGGGNAGCAAACAGGANUANAUACCCNGGNAGNNCACGCCGUAAACGUUGGG
rnacentral:rRNA from 1 species